GAUGAACGCUAGCGGGAGGCCUAACACAUGCAAGCCGAGCGGUAGAUUCUCUUCGGAGACUUGAUAGCGGCGCACGGGUUCGGAACACGUGUGCAACCUGCCUUUAUCUUGGGGAUAGCCUUUCGAAGGGAAGAUUAAUACCCCAUAAUAUUCUUGAUGGCAUCAUCUGGUAUUGAAAACUCCGGUGGAUAGAGAUGGGCACGCGCAAGAUUAGAUAGUUGGUGAGGUAACGGCUCACCAAGUCAGCGAUCUUUAGGGGGCCUGAGAGGGUGAUCUCCCACACUGGGACUGAGACACGGACCAGACUCCAACGGGAGGCAGCGGUGAGGAAUAUUGGACAAUGAGUGAGAGCCUGAUCCAGCCAUCCCGCGUGAAGGACGACGGCACUAUGGGUUGUAAACUUCUUUUGUAUAGGGAGAAACCUAGAUACGUGUAUCUAGCUGAAGGUACUAAACGAAUAAGCACCGGCUAACUCCGUG
rnacentral:rRNA from 1 species